UAAUAGCAAGUCGUUAUGUUGCUCUUACAAUUUUUCUGAUUUUUUAUAGAAAAAGUGAUUUUUCUAUGCACUAUUGGAGUUUAUUCUGUUCCUUAAGGCCUGUUUAAUCUCCCGAAGAUGAGUGCUAUUUUAAUAAUACACACUCAGCAAAGAAGAGGCCUGGGUUACCCCUUAUAUAAUUCUGUUGUUGGGCAUCAUUCUGGCUUACGAGAUUGAUUUUCUCUAAUCACAAAAAAAUUUUAUACAACAAAUCGAUGGAUGUAUACAUUUCUGGGCAGUACAAGUAUCCUUUUGAUUAAUAUUACCAAUAACAAUCGUUAUCUUUUGGUUAAAUAUGUAUAUUUUUUCUCGUUUUUAAUGUUCAUCAGUGGAUUCUAACAUUUUUAAAUUUACUUAUGUAAGAAAAAAUUUCCAAUGAGUGUCUGAGUUACAUUUUUACGAUUUCUUAUUUUCAUAGACAAAUUCAACCUGUCUGUUUUUAUUUUGGGUCAAUUUUUGGCUGUUGGUCACUUCUCUUUUUUUUUAGCAGAAUACCAUCUACUUAGAAUUUUACUUCAUGUUGUUUUUGGUUUACUUUCAUGUCUCUGUAAUAGCUACACUUGCAUAUUUUCUUGAUUGUGGAAAUAAUAUCAAUUCUAUACAAUAUUCCAUUGACUAUAUUUCUGUAGUUCUUAUUAAUUUGGUAAAAUAUACCAUGUAAUAUACCUUGCCUCCUAUAUUUUAUUGUUUAUUUUGUUGUUACUGUAAAAAUAUUCCAUUGAUUUUAAGUAUUUUUUUAUUUGUAUUAUUUUUCUUGUGGUGUCAUUCUUCUAACACUUGUAAUUUCUUGUACAGAUAUUCAGUUUUGAUGGAUUCAUUUUUAUCUCAUUUUUACAGAUGAUAUAGCAUGAAUUGCUGUAAUUUUACAGAUUCUGUUGGUUUGGUUUGCCUGUGUUUUCAAAUUUCAAAAUAACGAAUUUCCAUUCAGUUCCUGGCGCAUUCGCCAUUUAUUCAAAAAACCUGUUUUGUCCAUAGCUUGACACUUCUGACUGCUUCUGACUUUCGGCGUUAUUUCCAAUGUAUUUUCCUAAGUAACAUCGACUCCGGAGCAUCAUAGCUAGCCUCCCCUAAGAGGAGGAGACCCGGGUCACCCCCUAACCCUGAUGUUCGGCCAU